rnacentral:rRNA from 1 species
UAAGCAUAUCAAUAAGCGGAGGAAAAGAAACCAACAGGGAUUGCCCCAGUAACGGCGAGUGAAGCGGCAACAGCUCAGAUUUGAAAUCUGGCCCUUACGGGGUCCGAGUUGUAAUCUGUAGAGGAUGCUUUUGGCGACGCGCCUUCCGAGUCCCCUGGAACGGGGCGCCAGAGAGGGUGAGAGCCCCGUAUGGUUGGACGCCGAACCUCUGUAAAGCUCCUUCGACGAGUCGAGUAGUUUGGGAAUGCUGCUCAAAAUGGGAGGUAAAUUUCUUCUAAAGCUAAAUACCGGCCAGAGACCGAUAGCGCACAAGUAGAGUGAUCGAAAGAUGAAAAGCACUUUGAAAAGAGGGUCAAAUAGCACGUGAAAUUGCUGAAAGGGAAGUGCUUGUGACCAGACUUGCGCCCGGUUGAUCAUCCAGCGUUCUCGCUGGUGCACUCUGCCGGGCUCAGGCCAGCAUCGGCUCUCCCAGGGGGAUAAAGGUCGCGGGAACGUAGCUCUCUCCGGGGAGUGUUAUAGCCCGUGGCGGAAUGCCCUUAGGGGGGGCCGAGGCCCGCGUUCGCAAGGAUGCUGGCGUAAUGGUCACCAGCGACCCGUCUUGAAACACGGACCAAGGAGUCAAGCAUUAGGGCGAGUCUUUGGGUGCAAAACCCGCAGGCGCAAUGAAAGUGAACGGAGGUGAGAGCUUCGGCGCAUCAUCGACCGAUCCUGAUGUUCUCGGAUGGAUUUGAGUAAGAGCCUUACCGCUUGGACCCGAAAGAUGGUGAACUAUGCCUGAAUAGGGUGAAGCCAGAGGAAACUCUGGUGGAGGCUCGCAGCGGUUCUGACGUGCAAAUCGAUCGUCAAAUUUGGGCAUGGGGGCGAAAGACUAAUCGAACCAUCUAGUAGCUGGUUACCGCCGA